rnacentral:lncRNA from 1 species
GAAGAUGCCACUGUUGCUCUUCUGCCAGCAGAUCCAGGCGCUUAGCAGAGGCUGCUGCGAAACCCAGUCUUCUUGCCUGGGGAACCGGGAGAGCUCCGGGGGCUGGAGGAACUACCUUGGACUCUUUACUCUCCACCCCUUCUUUCCCACUCCGCCUUCCUCUUCUGCCUUCUUCUGCUUUUGUUGCCCUAACAAAACCAGGAUGUGGGCAAAGAGCUCAGGUUCAGCAGCUGGACCAGGCACUGUGCUGGGAACAGAGGGGCAAAGAUGACAAAGUCUUUUUCUCAAGGAGGCACACAAGUAAGAAGCAUCUCCUAGUUUUAUUGACAUCGUUUUGGUUUAAGGUUGUUUAUGUGUGUGUGUGUGUGAGAGAGAGAAAGAGAUGGGGCAACUUGAUGUCAGAUUUUCUUUCUUUCGCCUUAAAUCUUUAGGGGUAGAAUUUUUUUUUCUUUUUUAUGGUUGCACCUCUGCAGCUCUGAUUUGACCCCUAGCCUGGAAACUUCUGUAUGCCACAGGUGCGGCCCUAAAAAGAAAAAAGAAAAAGAAGAAAGAAAACAGGGAACAGGUUCUGCAUUUUACUUUCUGGGCCCGUUAACACUCUUAUCUCACUCGGAACAUUGAGGGGGCAGGUUUCGCCUUGCUUUUUAAUAGAAAGAUAGCAACCAAGCCAGCCUAAAGCCUAAAAUAGAAGGUGUUUUUUUUUUUUUUUUAAAUUUUUUUGCAAAUACCACGCUCUCCUUCUUUUAUGGAUUUUUGUGGUCUAGCAUCUGGGAAAAGAUCCCCUAGACCUUGGCCCCCUGACUAAAUGAUCCAAUAAAUAUUUGCGAAAUGAGUGAAUGGUGUCGUACAUCUGUGUCACAGGCUCACAAAGCAUCUGCUCAAAGGACGCACUGGGAAAGGCAGAAGGAUCUUUUGCCAUCAGUUGCCUAAUGACAGGAAUGCUAAAAGCAAUAAGGCACUUCUUGCCUAUAUCGCACCCACUCCAAUGCCUUGUUUCAGUACCUCUUUUAUUUUAUUUUUUUUCUUUUUCGGCCACCCGGUGGCAUAUGGAGCUCCUGGGCCGGGGAUCAGAUCCGAGCCGCAGUUGUGGCAAUGCUGGAUCCUUAACCCACUGUGCCAGGUCAGGGAUUGAACCUGCAACUCAGCGCUCCCAAGAGGCCACCGAUCCCACUGUGCCGCCGCAAGAACUCCGCUACCUCUUCUUUUACGGAAGGGGGUUGAACCUUCGGCACGUCAGUGUUCACUCUGAAGAACGAACCUGCUGAGAUCUUCCAUUGAUGCCCUGAUCAUGCUGGGGGGAGGGCUCCUUUUCUCCCAGCCUUAGGCUGGAAUGGGGGCUGGGCACCCCAGGGGAGAGAUGAUAAAUAUGGAAAAGACAAAGUGAGGAAAAUUAAAAUAAGAAGUUUGAUUCCGGCUAAGCUAGGAGAAGUGGGAAAGGAGAAAGCAAGAAGCUAAAAAGAAACGGAGAGGAAUCUGACAUCAAAGCGACAGCCCAGCAAAGAAAAGGAAAUGCUUGACGUGGCCAGGCAGAGGCUGAAUUACCCACCGCUGCCCCACGGGAUUCAGACCUUUGGUGUUUGUCCUUGGCCGAGAUGCCGACGGGAUAAGAGCGCCUAAUGCAGGCGUCUUGACAUCUUUAUGUCAAUGUUUAUCAGCCUGUGUCUCCUGGAGGUGACAUUUGUGGUAGAAGGGACGGCUGUUUGGUUUAAGUGUUUGCAGGUACCCGAGACCCGGGCUUCAACAAAUAGCCAGGCAGGUGUCCCACCUGAGGCAGGGAGCCUGGACAUCUGGGCUACACACGUUCUCAGCGCCUUGAGUAGAAAAGGUGACAUGGACAAUCACACACCAAACGUUGUGUCCUUAAUUAGUGUGUAUCUGAGGACAUGCUGCGUUCACCAGCUCUGCGUUGGGUGCUGCAGAGACUGUAAAGGCUAUUUUAUGAAAGUCUGUGUGUAACACGCUCUCACUCCUUUUCAAGUCUUCUCCGCUGUCUUUCCCCCUCCCCACCACCCCAGCCUAGCUGAUGAGCUUUUCGUAUACGUGGAGGAAACGGAAGUAAUCAGACAGAAAAGUCCUCCUGUGAAAUCCCCUGAAUCUCACCCCUUCCACCUCCCAGAGAUCUCACUUCCUUCUCUCUCCUCCGUAAUUUUCUCCUUCUCGGUUGGAUCUUUCCCACAAUCUCAGAAACAUUCCCUAGUGUCUCCCAUCAUAGAAAAAUGCCUCUUUGGAGUUCCCGCUGUGGCGCCGUGGAUUAGGGACCUGACUGCUGCGACUCAGGUCCCUGUGGAGGCACAGGUUCAUCCCUGGCCCAGUGCUGUGGGGUAAAGGGUCCAGUGUUGCCACAUCUGUGGUGUAGGUUGCAGCUGUGGCUCAGACUCCAUCCCCGGCCUGGGAACUUCCAUCUACCAUGGGUGAGGCCAUUAAAAAAAAAAAAAAAAAAAAAA